rnacentral:rRNA from 1 species
AUUGAACGCUGGCGGCAGGCCUAACACAUGCAAGUCGAGCGAGCGACGGACGGGUGAGUAAUGUCUGGGUAACUGCCUGAUGGAGAGGGAUAACUACUGGAAACGGUAGCUAAUACCGCAUACCAUCAGAUCUGCCCAGAUGGGAUUAGCUAGUGGGUGGGGUAAUGGCUCACCUAGGCGACGAUCCCUAGCUGGUCUGAGAGGAUGACCAGCCACACUGGAACUGAGACACGGUCCAGACUCCUACGGGAGGCAGCAGUGGGGAAUAUUGGACAAUGGGCGAAAGCCUGAUGCAGCCAUGCCGCGUGUGUGAAGAAGGCCUUCGGGUUGUAAAGCACUUUCAGCGGGGAGGCGUUACCCGCAGAAGAAGCACCGGCUAACUCCGUGCCAGCAGCCGCGGUAAUUC